GUGGGCUCGCUUUGGCAACACAUGUACUAAAAUUAGAACCAUACAAGGAAGUAGCAUGGCGCCUGCGCAAGGAUGACACGCUAAUUCACAAAGCAUUCCAGUUCCGA